CAACGAAUCAACGUUGUCUAUUUCUCCACGUAUCCUAUUAGGAACCGCUAUAAUGGGUGUUGCUAAAUUUGUUUCGUUUCUGUGUUUGGCACUCGUGACACAACAGUUUUUAGGAAACUAUGCGGAUGCGUUCGAAAUUGGUGGAUCUAUAUACGGUGGUAUCCGUUUAGGACUGCGAUCAUCAAUAUUAAGUGCUUUAGCUCAUCGCGUAAGCUGCUUGAGAAGAUAUACGUUAGUGUGUGGUUUCAUUUUCCAACCGCGUUGCUGCCAUACUAACGUGUGUUGUUAAUACUUUUAUUGAUUUCUAAUAUCUUGUCUUACAUGAACAAUAAAUGUCAAAAGUGCUAACAAAUAUGAAAAUUAAUCUCAAUAUACACCAUCCAUACAAAAGAGGAAACA